ACGUUCACAGGAAUCCAUUUGACAACAUAGCAACCAUUAUGCUUCGCGCUACGGGCUCACGUGACGCUGUUAGAGAAGAAGGAGUAAAAAUAAACAACGCGACAAAACUAGACAAUUCUAUUGACUUUUACUCAGUAUUGGCAGCCAUUAACCAGCGCGUCAAGGAGAGGUACGGAGAUGCAGUUCUUGAUAUUCCAGCACAUGAAACAGUGCUAAGACCCAAGGAAACGCUACAAAGAUUGUGUGACCAUUUGGGUGUCACAUGUUCUGGAGAUUACCUCCAAAGAUGCAGCGAUAUUUUGUAUGGAGCUCCUUCAGUCACCAGAAACACAGUAGUUUGGACCGAGGAGCAAAAACAGCGCGUCAUAAAAAUGAUGGGGAAACACCCUUUUCUAAACGAAUAUUCAUUUGAUAAAUAUCCCAGCUAAGAAAACAGUAAGGUGUGGCUAUAUGUCACGUUUUCCUCAACUCUUAGAGAAAAAUGUUUGAGUCUUUUUGUUACAUUGGCAACAUAUGGUUUUUAAACACUAAUUAAAGUUUUCAAGUACAGUGUUUCAACCCGUUUCAACGCAUUUCCAAACGCACAAGCAUACGUGUAUCUUGGCGAUCAUAGAAUGCCUGUAAACGUGCUUGUAUAGCUAUUAAAGUGCAUGACCAUUAUAAAUGAGAUUUCCUUAGUUUACUUUUUUACUUAUAGAAGUGAGACACUUUGGGGUUGGAUGCGAAAGUGAUGGUAACUGAUAUCACAAUUUAUUUGACUUAUUUACGGGGACUCUUGCCCCAUGAGGUACUUAACAUCAAUAAAACGGAGGGCAGUAUUUUUAGGAUCAGUGUUAAUCCCUUGAACCCAAGGAGGUGCUUCAGUAAAUUUCAGAUAGGUGUGUGCCGCGAGGGUUCUUAAACCCUAUAAAUGCAAAUGGAUACCCUAUGCAAUGUAUGGGAGUUGCAUUGCAAUAUUUCUAAGACAAAAAGUACUCACUGAUGUAACAAAACAGUAAUUUCCUUUCAUCAGAUAACAUAAAUAAAUAAAAAAAAUAGGAAUAUUAAUAAACAAAAACAAAAAAAUAAAUAAAUAAAUAAAUAAUGAUCAAAUGAGUAAUAUUAAAUAAAUUAUACAAGGUUACCCUGUCAGUGUAGAAAUAUUGGUACCAAAAAAAUUUAUAUUAAAUCCUAUCGUAUACCUUUAGAGGUGUCUCGCGUCCAAGCGAUGUAGCACUUUUGGUUUAAACUGUAGAUACUUACACCCCUUAUCAAAUUGAAAGCUCAUCGAGCUGGCUAUCACAUUAAAUCAAGACUUCUGAAAUAAAAUGAAUUGUCGAUUUUUUUACAACUCCUAAAUGCGAGCAUCCGAAUCACCUUUUGAAAGCCACAAGUGAAAGUGAAUUUUGUUUUUUGCUUCUUUAAUUUGUCCCUCAGUUUCUGGAACCAAAACACUAAAAAACAUGUCUGCAAUUUGCCAUAUACAAUUUCAGUGAAAAGUUACAGAACAUUUUCGAAAUAGGAAAAAAUAAUAUGGAGUGAUUGUAGAAAUAUCGCUCUUGGGGAAAAAAAUAUUAUUUUGAAGAUGAAAAAUUUGCUGACCUGCUUAAUUGUCAUUUAUAUGUCGAACUAGCUACUGUCCAAAUUUGAAGGCAGACAAACAAAUUCCCUUUGACUUCUAGCUUUCAAAAGGGACCCAAAUGAUGAUUCAGAUGCUCACAUUUAGAGGUCUUGAAAAAUUUGACAAUUCAUUUUAUUUCAGAAUUCUUAGUACGGUGUGAUAGCUACCUCUAUAACCUUUUAUGGGGUUUACGUAUAUCUACAGUUUAAACCAGACGUGCAACAUCACUUGGACAUGAGACAGUACACAGUAACCUUACAUAACAGGAAUCCCAAAAUUAAAAGUAAAUAUAGCACAGCCAUCUUAUUAAUAUUCAAAUUUAACACAGCAUUUCACAUAGAUGUAGGAAGGUAGUCAAAUUGAAUUAUAGAUAUUAUACCCCAAAUGAUUAUUACGAAUGACUGCAUUGCUACAUGACACUUAAAAAGUAUAAUAACUAAGGUAAAAACAACCAUCAAAAGCCUUAUUCUACAAACUAUAUAAGGUGAGAACAGCUGGUAGCAGAAUAGGUAUUCCCAGAUUUCACCUCUGCUCCAAAAUCAAGGAGGGUUGCGGGAGGUGGGGGGUCGGGGGGAAGUGGGUGCCUUCUGCAUUUGAACUACAUACAGUAGUUAUACCCUCCCCUCCCUCCCUGCUUUGCCAUCCCCCCUUUUUUUCCUAAUAGCCCUUAAACAACAUGCUUGCAGCCAUUAAGAGACCUUAUAUUUGAUUGACUACCAGUUCAGAUAACAAUACACCUUGUCAAGUUCACCAUGUAUUUUUCAUUAUUUUGAGGAAUAACUGCUUUUUCAUAAGAGCUUGAAUUUGACAGAUACCAUUUAAACUGAGCUUGUUCAGAGCUUUUUAUUAAACAUGGGGUCAUACCUGCAUUGAAGAUGGACAGUUAGGGGUGAGAAAUCUAGAAAUUUGAAAGUGGCCCACUUUGAGACCAAUUUAAUGUUUUAAAUGGCUCAAUUGCAAAUUUUCUUGAACAGUGAAUUAAUAUUUAACCAUAGCACUCACUCAAGUACAUUUUUGUUGGGAAGGGACUAGAUAUUGAAAUCGUAAGAUAUUACAAAAAUAUGCAUAUAUGACGUCACAAAAAACACGGGGGUCACCCGUCAAUCAAAAAAAAAAAUGUCAUUAUUGAGAAGUAAACUUUAUCUUGUAAAAAAAUAAUAAUAAAAAAUAAAAGACAUAAUAUUUCGUACUUCCCUUUCUUAGUUCUGCGGCAUAAGCUGUCGGCAGCUGGCCACCUCAAAACAGCCACACUAAAAAGAAAUGUCAGUGUUGAUGUAAACAGCAUGGAAACAGCCGUGUGAACUUCUCAAUCAUAAGAACUAAACGAAAAUUCUUGCCCAACCAAAUUAGACAUACUUCUGCGUGGUGUUAAAAUGCUGUCUUGGGAAUCUGCCUUGGCUGCGAUAUGACUGCAGAUAACAAGAGCCCAACGACGAAAUCGCUGAAAUCGGCCAUAUUUCUUUACCAAUGAUUGACAAGGACUGGGAGCAAAUUCCUUAUUUGUCAAUUAAUAUAGCACUGUGAGACUGGCGCGAGCGGUUUAAAAGAGCGGGAAAUCAGAAAUAUGGCGGCCGAUGCCCGGCAUUUUGUUUGACCUUGGAUUGGGGAGGUUUUGUGUCUUGCAUUUGCUUUUACAUGACUGUGAUAAGGCUUGAUAAACAAGUAAGAAUUAAAGAAAAUGAAAGUGCUGCGUGGGUAUAAAAUAGCCGUAAAUAACGAAAACCAACGUCUCCCAAACAAGCCCUCAUUUUGCAUUCCUGCGAGAAGCGUCAUGGCUGCGAGACUCGAAAGAAAAAAGAACCUUUGUAUUACGUCUGUAACUCUUGAGGGACACAUACCAUGUCUCUAGUUGCAACUACGUCACGAUAGAGUGGUUUUCACUGGAGUGUCGAAAGCACUGGUUUGGCAUUACUAUACGGUACGCGAUCGACUGGCUUAAAAACUCAGAAACUGAAAUUAUUUCA
rnacentral:lncRNA from 1 species